rnacentral:rRNA from 1 species
AGCUGAGUUUGAUCCUGGCUCAGAUUGAACGCUGGCGGAAUGCUUUACACAUGCAAGUCGAACGGUAGAGGGGGCAACCCCUCGAGAGUGGCGAACGGGUGAGUAAUAUAUCGGAACGUGCCCAGUCGUGGGGGAUAACGUAGCGAAAGUUACGCUAAUACCGCAUACGAUCUAAGGAUGAAAGCGGGGGAUCGUAAGACCUCGCGCCGAUGGAUGAGCCCAUGUCGGAUUAGCUAGUUGGUGAGGUAAUGGCUCACCGAAGGCGACGAUCCGUAGCUGGUCUGAGACGGGCGACCGGCCACACGUGGGACUGAGACACGGCCCAGACCUCCGUACGGGGAGGCAGCAGUGGGG